GCCUGGGUGGCUCAGUCGGUUGAGUGUCCGACUUCAGCUCAGGUCAUGAUCUCAUGGUUCGUGGGUUUGAGCCCCGCGUCGGGCU
rnacentral:tRNA from 1 species